AACCAUUCUCACCUGCGGCUAGACCUGCGGAGGGAUCAUUAUUGAAUAAAUCUGACAUGGUUGUAGCUGGCUCUUAGGAGCAUGUGCACACCUGUCACCUUUAUCUUUCCACCUGUGAACCCUUUGUAGUCCCAGGAUAACCUCUCGCGCACUCUGGUGUUGCGGAUGCGAAGGUUGUUGUGCCUCUGGCCAGCUCCCAUCGAAUUUCCUGGGUCUAUGUUUCUUAUACACCCCUGUAUG
rnacentral:misc_RNA from 1 species